UACGAAGGGUGCAAGCGUUACUCGGAAUUACUGGGCGUAAAGCGUGCGUAGGUGGUUUGUUAAGUCUGUUGUGAAAGCCCCGGGCUCAACCUGGGAAUGGCAAUGGAUACUGGCAAGCUAGAGUGCGGUAGAGGGUAGUGGAAUUUCCGGUGGAGCGGUGAAAUGCGUAGAGAUCGGAAAGAACACCAACGGCGAAAGCACUCUGCUGGGCCGACACUGACACUGAGAGACGAAAGCUAGGGGAGCGAAUGGG
rnacentral:rRNA from 1 species